rnacentral:rRNA from 1 species
CCACCUCCCACCCGUGUUUACUGUACCUUAGUUGCUUCGGCGGGCCCGCCAUUCAUGGCCGCCGGGGGCUCUCAGCCCCGGGCCCGCGCCCGCCGGAGACACCACGAACUCUGUCUGAUCUAGUGAAGUCUGAGUUGAUUGUAUCGCAAUCAGUUAAAACUUUCAACAAUGGAUCUCUUGGUUCCGGCAUCGAUGAAGAACGCAGCGAAAUGCGAUAACUAGUGUGAAUUGCAGAAUUCCGUGAAUCAUCGAGUCUUUGAACGCACAUUGCGCCCCCUGGUAUUCCGGGGGGCAUGCCUGUCCGAGCGUCAUUGCUGCCCAUCAAGCACGGCUUGUGUGUUGGGUCGUCGUCCCCUCUCCGGGGGGGACGGGCCCCAAAGGCAGCGGCGGCACCGCGUCCGAUCCUCGAGCGUAUGGGGCUUUGUCACCCGCUCUGUAGGCCCGGCCGGCGCUUGCCGAACGCAAAUCAAUCUUUUUCCAGGUUGACCUCGGAUCAGGUAGGGAUACCCGCUGAACUUAAGCAUAUCAAUAAGCG